GCCUGGGUGGCUCAGUCGGUUAAGCAUCUGACUUUGGCUCAGGUCAUGAUCUCAUGGUCCGUGAGUUCAAGCCCCACAUCAGGCU
rnacentral:tRNA from 1 species